ensembl:lncRNA
UUGACAAUUUAAAUGUUUUAUUCAUUUUAAGAGUUUUAUUUACAGACUUUGUUAUGUUGGUUAGAAUUUGGUCCAUUCUUUCAAUAUAUAUAUUUACAGUUCAGACAGUUACUGCUACAUAAUUCAAUUCAAAUAGAUAUACUACUCUUGUAUAUCCGCUCUCAAUAUUGGCACGUGCAACACAAACAAUCAGAAGCUUUUCUGAUUUCUUCAUCAUUACACAAACAUAAACAUCAAUUUGAUGUACAUUUGAAAACAUUGGUAGAUACAAAACAAGAGCUUAUUUUACUACUGUAGAACGUAUAACUUUUGCACAUCAUAUAACAUAAUGAUAUCUUAUUAAAUGAAUCAAUCCUGUCCCUCAUCUAGAAAAUUGGUUAUAAAGUCCCGUGGACUAAAUAAUCAUUAAUUUGUUACAGAACAUUAAUGAUUUACAAUCUAAUUAUGUAACAACUGCAUUGACCUUUGAAGCCUGAAAGAAUAUAGCAGUACUUAUCCAUUAUGCAGCAUUCCAUAUUGAUAAAUACUAUGGAACAUAUCAACAUUUUCAAUCAAGACCGUGUUUAAAUAACAUCAACCAAAAGCAAAAUAAAGUUUGUGGUAACAAGGCAAUAAUGAACUUUGGUACUGAUAAAAAUGCAACAACCAGUGGCCACUGAUGCCAGUCAAAUUUGGUCCACACAUUGCUUUUUGUCUUUAAAGAAUAUGUUGCAUAUUUAUAGAGCUUGUGCAGGCUCCCCUUUACUCACAACGGUAAUGGGUUGUUUGGUUCCAGGACGCACUGUGAUCGUCAUACCAUGUUGCUUUGACUUUGUCUCGCUGCUGAAAGAAAAAAAAAAAGGAAAACACCAUGAUUAUUAUAAGUUAUUGAAAUCAUUCAUAUUAUAUAUAUACAUAUAUAUACUGUAUAUAUAUUAUAUAUCAACCUCAACUUAUCGAUGUGAACUCGUCACUGCAAAACAAAGGAACCUUACCUGGAGGCUGUGGCGUUGUCCUGUAGUUUUUUGGCCACUUUAGUUUCCAACUCCCGCAUGUCCAGGUGUGCGUUUUUAGUAGGAAGCAUAUAGUUCUUGUUAUUCUGUGGCGUGGUUCUGGGAGUAAACGGGAUCAUUGUGUCCUCGUCAGACGUGGGGGAACCCCAUUCGUCGUUGCUGGACUCCAUCUCUCUCUUUGGGUUCAUUUUGCUGUCCAUCUCCUUCAUCUUCUUCUGCAAAAUGCUUAAGAGUGUGGCCUGGCUCUCUGAGACAUCGGGCAGCGGCUUCUGGACGGGCAGCCGAGGCAAGGUCUGGUACACCAGUGGUUUCACAUCUGGGACCGGAGCUGGAGCCGGAGGCGGAGGCGGGGACAGAGCGGGCGCAGCGGAUUUAGGUUUGGGAGGAGGCGCCGGGGUUGGAGCCUGGGAAGGAGCAGGUGAAGCUGGUUUGGGUGGAGGAGCCGGAGCAGCAUAGACAGGUUUUAUUAUUGAUACUGGUGCCUUCUUUUUCGGAGGAUCGGGUGGAGGAAAGUCCGGAGGUAAAUCCAUAAUGUCAUUGAAAUUAAAGUUGGAAAACUCUGGUGGCGGAGGGAGCAAUGUCAUGGGUGUUUCUGGAGGAUUGGCCUCACUCUUUCUGUAGUCGAGUGACGGGCUGGCUUGCUUGACCUCUUGCUUCUCAGAGGCUAGUCUGCCCAACGACGGGGAUGUCCCCGCUGUCGACGACCCACCGAAAGCUGGAGUGCUGGGUGCAGCUGGACUCCGGACCGCUGGAGGGGCGAGGUGGAGCGGUUGGGUUUGUGCUGUUGACAUGGGCCCUGCAGCACUGUAUGUUGACCGUGAGUCCUCUUCCCGUCCAUUCUCAUGGGUCGUUGAGGAAAUUGAGUUUGACCUGGGUGUGACAACAAAGGAGUUGGGAGAAGAGUGUCUGUGCUUAAAACUAGUCUUGGGUGAUCUGUUUUUCUCCCUUUCCUUUGCUGCUUGCAACAGGGCGAAGGGAGAAGUUGAGGACCCACUUGUUUCAGGUCCCUUUAAGUUCCGCAGUUUGCGAUCUAUUAGGGGGCUGUAAUUGCCCUUGUGACUGACUUUUAAGAGAUCUUGAGUUGAAAGUUCUUUACUCGACUUUGUUGAUACUGGAGGAAGAGAUGGGGCAAGGUCCUUUUCCUGUAGGCUUGAAAUAACAGGUUUAGCCUCAGGCUUAGGUUGCGACUGUGCUGUCUUUGCUGUAAUGUUAGCUUGAGGGUUCAUCUUGGGUUCUCUGUCCAGCUGGGUUUCAGCCGGGGCAGCACCACGGCUCGGUUUGGAUGGUGGAGUAGGUGAGGCUUUUCCAUCUACCUGGACAGCAUCGGGACUAGAGGGUUGUAAGAGCAAGAUCUGCUUUGGUCUUGGGUCAAAGUCCCCCUGCCCACUGACAAUGGAGGUUUUGGGAGCGUUGUAAAGUUUAGCAUUAUUCUGGGGAUUGAAACUGGAGGGGGUGUUCAUCUGGUGGGAGGCAGCAGGAGGGUACGGCUCGAUGAAGGCGUCGGUCCCAGCGAUCGAAGACAUCCUAGUGGGCGUUGGGGGCGGUGCCUUCCCUGGUUUCUUUGGCUUUUCAGAAGGGGGUUUGGGUGGUGCAAAUCUUGGGCAAUCGGGGAGCCCUGGAACCACGCGUGGUGGUGGUGUGGAAAUCGGGGUGGAGGCACUGGAGUAAGUUGACGGAGGCUUCGGAGGCGUCAUGGUUGGGGGUCUUAGCAAGGUGAGGUCCUGCAAUGCUGUUGGCUCUGAAGGAGGUUUUGGAGGAGUCAUGGGUGGGGGUUUCAUAAAGGCGAGAUCCUGUAAUGCUGGUGGCUCUGAAGGAGGUUUUGGAGGAGGCAUACUAGGCCGCUGAAUCAUUGCCCUGUUAGGGCUGUCUAGUUCCCCCAUGAAAUCAGGUGGAGGGAGGAUAAACUGUGUGGGUGGGGGUGGGGGUGCCACAGAAGGCGGAGGGGGAACGAAAAUGUUCCCCUCAAUAGGAUCGUUCAAAGAUAUAGCCGAUCCAAUGGACAGUCGAUCCCCUUCUGCAAAACAAGACAGAAAACAUUGUAGUUGUAUAGCCUAGGACUAUAAGCGCUGCAUGCAAUAAGCUUGUCGAAACAAACAUGAAGGCAUUUUUAUUUUAAAUGCAAACUUUUAUGCACAUUUUAAUGUCAACAUUAAAUAGAGGGGUUAAUUAUGAGCAUUCAAACAAUGUCUUUAUUGCAAAGACGUAAAUUAAGGAAACUGUUAGCAUGCAGGGAUCACAAAGAUGGGUGCAUGACAUCCUAUUAUAUUAUUUUAAUAACAUGCAUUCACUCCACUACUUUGUUAAUCCAUUUGUGGGCCAGCUUGGACACAAUUGAAAUAUAAAGUAAAUUGGGAAAGAGUCUGAGGAAACAUUUUUCUGCACUAUAUUUCAACUCUAUAUGGACGCAAUCUCUGUGACGGUGCUGAAGUGGGAUUGGUCAACCAGGUUAAUCCUCACCUUUCCCCUCACCCUUUAGUCCGUUGAACGUAGAGAAGAUAGGGACCGUUGGGGUCGGAACCGCAACCCCAUAAACACUUUCAGACGAGGACUGUUGGGGAAAAAAGAAUGGACAAUUAGCCUCCGGGAUAUAUCUAACAGUUUAAACAAACACAGGAGAAGUCAGCCGGAAGAGGUUCUGCUCUACCGGCUGCUAGAACAUAUUGUGAACAAACCAGUUCUUUGUGACAAGCCUUUGUGAUGAGCCAAGAC